UUAAAGCCGAGGGGCCUUGCGGAAACGUCAGGAGACGUCUACCGGACACAGUAGCAAGUGAGCCCGCCCUACAACCUUGUCUGAUGACGGUGUAGUGAAAUACUGGGUCAUGAGAAUGGCCAAUCAGACAGUAGCAAU
rnacentral:sRNA from 12 species